AAAGAUUAAGCCAUGCAUGUCUAAGUAUAAACAACUUUGUACUGUGAAACUGCGAAUGGCUCAUUAAAUCAGUUAUAGUUUAUUUGAUUAUACCUUACUACUUGGAUAACCGUGGUAAUUCUAGAGCUAAUACAUGCUAAAAAUCCCGACUUCUGGAAGGGAUGUAUUUAUUAGAUAAAAAACCAAUGCGGGCAACCGCUUUUCUGGUGAUUCAUAAUAACUUUUCGAAUCGCAUGGCCUUGUGCUAGCGAUGUUUCAUUCAAAUUUCUGCCCUAUCAACUUUCGACGGCUGGGUCUUGGCCAGCCGUGGUGA
rnacentral:rRNA from 1 species